rnacentral:rRNA from 1 species
GACCUGCGGAAGGAUCAUUAU